rnacentral:rRNA from 1 species
UGGGGAAUAUUGCGCAAUGGGGGGAACCCUGACGCAGCCAUGCCGCGUGAAUGAAGAAGGCCUUAGGGUUGUAAAGUUCUUUCGGUAUUGAGGAAGGUUGAUGUGUUAAUAGCACAUCAAAUUGACGUUAAAUACAGAAGAAGCACCUGCUAACUNCGUGCCAGCAGCCGCGGUAAUACGGAGGGUGCGAGCGUUAAUCGGAAUAACUGGGCGUAAAGGGCACGCAGGCGGUUAUUUAAGUGAGGUGUGAAAGCCCCGGGCUUAACCUGGGAAUUGCAUUUCAGACUGGGUAACUAGAGUACUUUAGGGAGGGGUAGAAUUCCACGUGUAGCGGUGAAAUGCGUAGAGAUGUGGAGGAAUACCGAAGGCGAAGGCAGCCCCUUGGGAAUGUACUGACGCUCAUGUGCGAAAGCGUGGGGAGCAAACAGGAUUAGAUACCCUGGUAGUCCACGCUGUAAACGCUGUCGAUUUGGGGGUUGGGGUUUAACUCUGGCGCCCGUAGCUAACGUGAUAAAUCGACCGCCUGGGGAGUACGGCCGCAAGGUUA